UUACGGCCAUAUCACGGUGAACCACCGGUUCCUGUACGAUCACCGAAGUUAAGCAACGUCGAGCCUGGUCAGUACCGAGAUGUCAUACUGGUAAGGA